GUAAGUUCUGACUUUCUCUUUUUCCUUUUUUCCUCAAGGGCAAUUGGUUUCUGUAAGCCAUUGCUAGAACUGAUGCUCAAAACUCUACUGUUGAGCAUUGUUUGUGAAUGCAUGUGUGUUCAUAUGGAUUAGUAUCCAAGUGUGACAUUGUUGAGUUUGACUGAAUCUCUUCAGAUUUGAUAUUUGUUUCAAUGAUGUCCUAGAGCAGACAACUUGUUGGUUUCAUGCUCAUAUUUUGAUGGGGAAUUUACUUAUUAACUCUACUUGAAUCAUUAUUUUCCUUGACCUGGCAUUGUUUCCAUGGCAAUUUAUCUUAAUACAUGAGGUUUUAAUGGUGAAUUAUUAUUUUUUUAUGCUACCAAAAUUUUUGAAUUUCUAUGGCAAUUCUUUUGUAGUAUACCAUUUACAUAAUGUAGCUAAAGUCAUUGC
rnacentral:misc_RNA from 1 species